CACAACUGAGAUGGCAGAUCUGACCUGGGUAGGUUAGAGGUAAUAAACUGCCACACCUAACGCCCUACCCUAAUGCCUUCAAUAAAACAGCAUCUGUUUUAAAUAUCAGAGGAAGGAAUGCAAGAACAUACAAUCGGGUCCCAAGAACAUAGUGGGGGAAAUACCUCUUCCCUUGGAUAAUGAAAGCGCUCUCCUGUUUCUUUAGAUUAUAGGAAUUAAGACAAGAAAACAUAAUCACCCUUCCCUUCACCCUCCACUCCCUACCCAAGAUGUAUAGGUAAUGAUGGUGAUAAAAAGGGCAAGAGGCUUGCUCAAGAUAUGACAAGACAGCCAAAAAGAAGAGCGAGAUUCAAGGAUUU
rnacentral:lncRNA from 1 species